CAAAUACUCCCUCUGUCCGGAAAUACUUGUCAUCAAAAUGGAUAAAAGGAAAUGUAUCUAGACGUAUUUUAGUUUUAGAUACAUCUCUUUUUAUCCAUUUUGAUGACAAGUAUUUUCGGACGGAGGGAGUAGAAA
rfam:Triticum aestivum genome assembly, contig: Triticum_aestivum_CS42_TGACv1_scaffold_185366_2DS